UAUAAAAUGCCUGAAAAAGGGUUAUUCUGAUAGAAUAAAUUAUGUAAUAUUGUAAUAAUUACUUUUAUAG
rnacentral:tRNA from 1 species